CUUUCUCUCUUCCUUCCUUUCUUCCUUUUAUUCUCACUGGAACCUCCAUUUUGGAGAACCUGAUCGUGUCCCCAGCGUUUUGGAAUGCAGAGGACUCGCAAUUCAGAACUCACGAACCAAAUCGCGAUUCCAAAGGGGUUUUGAGCGAAUCUGGUAACUAUGGGCAAGAAUUAUUCAAGAAAAUGGGUGUGAAGCUUGCUUUCAGUUCUACUUAUCACCCUCAAUCGGAUGGCCAAACUGAGAGAGUGAAUCAAUGCUUAGAAGGAUAUUUGAGGUGCAUGGUCCAUUUACAGCCAUCUACUUGGACUAGUUGGUUAUCAUUAGCAGAAUGGUGGUACAAUUCCUCCUUUCAUAGUGCCAUUAAGAUGUCCCCAUUUCAGGGACUUUAUGGUUAUGUUCUACCACUUUUUCCCUCUGGAAUCGCUAAAGAAUCAUUUGUGGCAGCUGUGGACCAAUUUCUUCGAGACAGACAGCACCUAAGCCAUCUUCUUAAGGAGAAUUUGCAGAAACCUCAGAAUAGAAUGAGACAGCGGGCUGACAAGAAUAGAACAGAGAGAGAAUUUGCAAUAGGGGACUGGGUUUAUUUGAAGCUUCAGCUUUAUAGGCAAGCUUCAGUGGCUAUGAGACAAUCUCUUAAGCUAUCUG
rnacentral:misc_RNA from 1 species